AUUGAACGCUGGCGGCAUGCCUUACACAUGCAAGUCGAACGGUAACGCGGGGCAACCUGGCGACGAGUGGCGAACGGGUGAGUAAUGCAUCGGAACGUGCCUGGUAGUGGGGGAUAACUGCUCGAAAGAGCAGCUAAUACCGCAUACGACCUGAGGGUGAAAGGGGGGGAUCGCAAGACCUCUCGCUAUCAGAGCGGCCGAUGUCGGAUUAGCUAGUUGGUGGGGUAAAAGCCCACCAAGGCGACGAUCCGUAGCUGGUCUGAGAGGACGACCAGCCACACUGGGACUGAGACACGGCCCAGACUCCUACGGGAGGCAGCAGUGGGGAAUUUUGGACAAUGGACGCAAGUCUGAUCCAGCCAUGCCGCGUGCGGGAAGAAGGCCUUCGGGUUGUAAACCGCUUUUGUCAGGGAAGAAACGCUCUGGGUUAAUACCUCGGGGUAAUGACGGUACCUGAAGAAUAAGCACCGGCUAACUACGUGCCAGCAGCCGCAGUAAUAC
rnacentral:rRNA from 1 species